rnacentral:rRNA from 1 species
GACGUAGGGGGCGAGCGUUGUCCGGAUUCAUUGGGCGUAAAGGGUGCGUAGGCGGCGCGGAAAGUUGGGUGUGAAAUCCCUCGGCUCAACCGAGGAACUGCGCCCAAAACUACCGUGCUCGAGGGAGAUAGAGGUGAGCGGAACUUAGGGUGGAGCGGUGAAAUGCGUUGAUAUCCUAAGGAACACCGGUGGCGAAAGCGGCUCACUGGAUCUCUUCUGACGCUGAGGCACGAAAGCUAGGGUAGCGAACGGG